AUUGAACGCUGGCGGCAGGCCUAACACAUGCAAGUCGAACGAGAGGCGGACGGGAGAGCAAUGUCUGGGACACUGCCCGAUGGAGGGGGAUAACUACUGGAAACGGUAGCUAAUUCCGUAUACCAUCGGAUGUGCCCAGAUGGGCAUCGCUAGUAGGUGGGGUAACGGCUGACCUAGGCGACGAUCUCUAGCUGGGCUGAGAGGAUGACCAGCAACACUGGAAAGGAGACACGGUCCAGACUCCUACGGGAGGCAGCAGUGGGGAAUAUUGCACAAUGGGCGCAAGCCUGAUGCAGCCAUGCAGCGUGUAUGAAGAAGGCCUUCGGGUGGUAAAGUACUUUCAGCGAGGAGGCGUUACUCGCAGAAGAAGCACCGGCUAACUCCGUGCCAGCAGCCGCGGUAAUUC
rnacentral:rRNA from 1 species